GGGAAUGUGGCUUAGUGGUAGAGUGCUUGCCUAGCAUGCAUGAAGCCCUGGGUUCAUAGGCAUGAAGCCCUGGGUUCAAUUCCUCAGUACCA
rnacentral:tRNA from 1 species